ACGGGAAGCUUAUGCGCCACAUCCCAAAGUGCUUGCAGUUCGAUGCUCGGCGUACAAAGGCAGAACACCAGACUGCCCCUCUGAAACCUCCCCAGACCCCGCGCAGCCCGCGUCAACCAAGUUCCGCUCUUUCCUGCCUGUUUUCCCGGUUCGGCCACUUCAGGCCUCAUCGCUGCCAGAACACAUGCCGUGUUGGUGCGCAGCCGCUCACGCCCCACACCCCCCGCUGGCCCUAGGUGCCGCUGCGGGCGGACAGGCUCUCUACUGGAUCUGGCUCAGCAACGGCUCACCGAGUGCUCACUGAACGAAAGAAUCAGCGACAAACAUUUCGGCUCCUGUUUAUGGAGCACCUACUACGUGCAGGCGUUGUGAUCGGCAUUUCCCGUGCAUUGUCCCACUUCUUUUUCUGAAAUGAUCUUACACAGUUAACACUAUCAUUAUCCCCUUUGUACAGAUGAGAAACUGGAGCUCAGAGAAGGGGUCACCUACCCAAGCCCCUGCAUCUGGGUAGGUGGGCUGAAAAGGGAGGAUCCGGCGAAGAUUCCACGCCUGCCUGGGGUUGAGCCCAGGUAGCCUGAAUAUCUUAAAGGGAAGCAAACCAUGUCGGCCCGUUAACGUCUUUCCUGUUUACCUGCCAGGGCCCAGGGGACAUUCCGUUCCAGGGAGAUGUCAUGUGCAAGACCUGGGCCUGUGACUCGUGCCAGGACCAGAGAGAGUGUGUUGCAAUGAGGCGUGCGGCUGAGCGAGCCCAGCCCACCGGGGUGCCAGUGUGCUCACCACUCCACACUGCUCUCCCUUUCUUUGCUGGGAGCUGCACAGAUGAUGUUUCAGGGUGCUUCUCAUCAUAGGGGGGCGGCUCCGGGACACAUGGAUGAUGGGAGAAUAUGCUGUGGCCACCGUAUCCACGGAAGCCCUAAGAUUACAAAGCCGAUGUUAUCUCUAACCGAGUGGAGUUGCUAGAAGUCAAAGAAGAUAUUCAUCACCCUGUUUUAAGCUUGCGUCUCAUUACUGUACCACUCCGCCUGUGUGUUAUGAGUUAAUGUUCUAAUAAAUCCUGUAAUUAUCUUGUGAAUAGCAUAAUUA